rnacentral:rRNA from 1 species
AGCGUACACGGUGGAUGCCUUGGCAGUCAGAGGCGAUGAAAGACGUAGUAACUUGCGAUAAGCCCAGAUUAGGUAGUAACAACCAUUUGAGUCUGGGAUUUCUGAAUGGGGAAACCCACGUGCAUAAGCACGUAUCCUUACCUGAAUACAUAGGGUAAGGAGGCGAACCGGGGAACUGAAACAUCUAAGUACCCCGAGGAAAAGAAAUCAACCGAGAUUCCGAAAGUAGCGGCGAGCGAAAUUGGACUAGCCCUUAAGCUUUACACGCGUUAGACGAACGGUCUGGAAAGUCCGACGAUACAGGGUGAUAGUCCCGUAGUUGACGACGUGUGUUCAGUGAAAUCGAGUAGGGCGGGACACGUGAUAUCCUGUCUGAAUAUGGGGGGACCAUCCUCCAAGGCUAAAUACUACUGACUGACCGAUAGUGAACCAGUACCGUGAGGGAAAGGCGAAAAGAACCCCUGUGAGGGGAGUGAAAUAGAACCUGAAACCGUGUACGUACAAGCAGUAGGAGCAGGCUUUGUCCUGUGACUGCGUACCUUUUGUAUAAUGGGUCAGCGACUUAUAUUCAGUGGCAAGGUUAACCAUCUAGGGGAGCCGUAGGGAAACCGAGUCUUAACUGGGCGUUCAGUCUCUGGAUAUAGACCCGAAACCAGGUGAUCUAGCCAUGGGCAGGUUGAAGGUUGAGUAACAUCAACUGGAGGACCGAACCGACUAAUGUUGAAAAAUUAGCGGAUGACUUGUGGCUAGGGGUGAAAGGCCAAUCAAACCUGGAGAUAGCUGGUUCUCCCCGAAAGCUAUUUAGGUAGCGCCUCGGACGAAUACUACUGGGGGUAGAGCACUGUUAAGGCUAGGGGGUCAUCCCGACUUACCAACCCUUUGCAAACUCCGAAUACCAGUAAGUACUAUCCGGGAGACACACGGCGGGUGCUAACGUCCGUCGUGGAGAGGGAAACAACCCAGACCGCCAGCUAAGGUCCCAAAUUACUACUAAGUGGGAAACGAUGUGGGAAGGCUCAGACAGCCAGGAUGUUGGCUUAGAAGCAGCCAUCAUUUAAAGAAAGCGUAAUAGCUCACUGGUCGAGUCGGCCUGCGCGGAAGAUGUAACGGGGCUAAGUAGUAAACCGAAGCUGCGGCAAUGUGCUUUUGCACAUUGGGUAGGGGAGCGUUCUGUAAGCGGUUGAAGGUGUGUGGUAACGCAUGCUGGACGUAUCAGAAGUGCGAAUGCUGACAUGAGUAACGAUAAAGGGGGUGAAAAACCUCCUCGCCGGAAGACCAAGGGUUCCUGUCCAACGUUAAUCGGGGCAGGGUAAGUCGACCCCUAAGGCGAGGCCGAAAGGCGUAGUCGAUGGGAAACGGGUUAAUAUUCCCGUACUUCUUACAAUUGCGAUGGGGGGACGGAGAAGGCUAGGUGGGCCUGGCGACGGUUGUCCAGGUUCAAGUGCGUAGGCUUGAGAGUUAGGUAAAUCCGGCUCUUUUUAAGGCUGAGACACGACGUCGAGCACCUACGGGUGUGAAGUCAUUGAUGCCAUGCUUCCAGGAAAAGCCUCUAAGCUUCAGAUUGUAAGGAAUCGUACCCCAAACCGACACAGGUGGUCGGGUAGAGAAUACCAAGGCGCUUGAGAGAACUCGGGUGAAGGAACUAGGCAAAAUGGUACCGUAACUUCGGGAGAAGGUACGCUCUCGACGGUGAAGUCCCUCGCGGAUGGAGCUAUUGAGAGUCGCAGAUACCAGGUGGCUGCAACUGUUUAUUAAAAACACAGCACUGUGCAAAAUCGUAAGAUGACGUAUACGGUGUGACGCCUGCCCGGUGCCGGAAGGUUAAUUGAUGGGGUUAGACUUCGGUCGAAGCUCUUGAUCGAAGCCCCGGUAAACGGCGGCCGUAACUAUAACGGUCCUAAGGUAGCGAAAUUCCUUGUCGGGUAAGUUCCGACCUGCACGAAUGGCGUAAUGAUGGCCACGCUGUCUCCACCCGAGACUCAGUGAAAUUGAAAUCGCUGUGAAGAUGCAGUGUACCCGCGGCUAGACGGAAAGACCCCGUGAACCUUUACUACAGCUUGGCACUGAACAUUGACCCUACAUGUGUAGGAUAGGUGGGAGGCUUUGAAGCACGUACGCCAGUAUGUGUGGAGCCGUCCUUGAAAUACCACCCUUGUAGUGUUGAUGUUCUAACGUCGACCCCUUAUCGGGGUUGCGGACAGUGCCUGGUGGGUAGUUUGACUGGGGCGGUCUCCUCCCAAAGAGUAACGGAGGAGCACGAAGGUGGGCUAAUCACGGUUGGACAUCGUGAGGUUAGUGCAAUGGCAUAAGCCCGCUUGACUGCGAGAAUGACAAUUCGAGCAGGUGCGAAAGCAGGUCAUAGUGAUCCGGUGGUUCUGAAUGGAAGGGCCAUCGCUCAACGGAUAAAAGGUACUCCGGGGAUAACAGGCUGAUACCGCCCAAGAGUUCAUAUCGACGGCGGUGUUUGGCACCUCGAUGUCGGCUCAUCACAUCCUGGGGCUGAAGUCGGUCCCAAGGGUAUGGCUGUUCGCCAUUUAAAGUGGUACGCGAGCUGGGUUUAGAACGUCGUGAGACAGUUCGGUCCCUAUCUGCCGUGGGCGUUGGAAGAUUGAAGGGGGCUGCUCCUAGUACGAGAGGACCGGAGUGGACGAACCUCUGGUGUUCGGGUUGUGUCGCCAGACGCAUUGCCCGGUAGCUAAGUUCGGAAUCGAUAACCGCUGAAAGCAUCUAAGCGGGAAGCGAGCCCUGAGAUGAGUCUUCCCUGAUACUUUAAGUAUCCUAAAGGGUUGU